AUAACAUUUUUAUUAUUAUUAAUUUUAUUUAAUUUCGUUUUAUAGAAAUAACUUUAUUUUUAGUAUGUUUUAUGGAAAUAAUAAUUUUGUUUAUAGUUUACUUUACUGUGAAGGGUUUAAUUUUAUUUAUUGGUAGUAAUUUCAAUUUAAUGUACCUUUUGUAUCAGGGUUAAUUAAUUUAAUAUAUUUAUAUAUGUUUCCCGAAGUUUGGAGAGAUAAAAUUAAUUGUUGUUUAAUGUUUUAAAGUUAUUAAUGAAUUAAUUUUAGUAAUGAAAUGUUAUUCGUUCUUUAAUAUCUGGUUUCUUAAGAAUUAAGUUUAAUUUAGAUUUAAUUUGGGUAAUUUAUAAUUUAUAUUUAAUUAUUUUGUUAAAUUAAGACUUUCGGGGAUAAGCUUGGGGGUAUAUUUCUAUAAUUUUAAUUUGAUUAAGGUUGUGUAGGUUUGGAAUCGGCCGUCAUUAAUUUCGUUAUAGAUUAACCUUUGAUUUUUUUUAUUUUUAUGUAUUUAGGUUUAUUAUUAGGAUGAUUUUAUUAAUUAUUAAUGGAUUGUAAUUAUGAUUGAAUUAGUAUAUUGUAUAAUUAGGUUAUAGGAAUUUGGCAAUUUGGGUGCCCGCCUGUUUAACAAAAACAUGUCCUUUUGUUAUUUAUAUAAGGUUUAACCUGCCCAAUGAUUUUUUUUAAUGGCCGCGGUAUUUUAACUGUGCUAAGGUAGCGUAAUCAUUUGUCUUUUAAUUGGAGGCUGGAAUGAAAGGUUGGACGAGGUAUUGACUUUCUUUAAUUUAAUUAGUUGAAUUUAAUUUUUAAGUUAAAAAGCUUAAAUUUGUUUGUUGGACGAGAAGACCCUAUAGAUCUUUACAUUUAUAGUGGUUUAUAAUUUAUAGUGAUUAAUUUGUUAUAAAAAUUAAAGGUGUUUAGUUGGGGUGACUGGAGAAUAAUAAUAACUUCUUUUAGUUAUAUCAUUAAUUGUUGUUUAUUUGAUCCAUUAUUAUUGAUUAAAAGAUUAAGUUACCUUAGGGAUAACAGCGUGAUUUUUUCGGAGAGUUCAUAUCGAUGAAGGAGUUUGCGACCUCGAUGUUGGAUUAAAAUUAGUUCUGAGUGCAGUGGUUCAGUAACUAGGUCUGUUCGACCUUUUAUUUUUUACAUGAUCUGAGUUCAGACCGGCGUGAGCCAGGUCAGUUUCUAUCCUCAAUAGGGUUAUAUAUAUUAGUACGAAAGGACCAUAUAUAUGGAAUAUUUUUUUUUGUUUUGUUUAAUAUUACUA
rnacentral:rRNA from 1 species